rnacentral:rRNA from 1 species
UUCUUUCAUGAUUCUAUGCAUAGUGGUGCAUGGCCGUUCUUAGUUGGUGGAAUGAUCUGUCAGGUUAAUUCCGAUAACGAACGAGACCCCAGCCAUCUAAAUAGCUGUCUCUACUAUAUAUUAUAGUAGUGUGUGUACUCAAAAUAUACGUACAGCUUCUUAGAGGGACUAUCUGUGUCAACAGGUGGAAGUGUGGGGCAAUAACAGGUCAGUGAUGCCCUUAGAUGCUCUGGGCUGCACGCGCGCUACAAUGGUGCAUUCAGCGAGAUUAACCUGGCUUGAAAAGGCUGGGUAAACUUAAAAGUGCAUCUCAGUUGGGAUAGAUGAUUGCAAUUUUUCAUCUUGAACAAGGAAUAUCUAGUAAACGCAAGUCAUCAACUUGCAUUGAUUACGUCCCUGCCCUUUGUACACACCGCCCGUCGCUCCUACCGAUUGAAUAAUCCGGUGAAUUGAGUGGGUUGGAAGACAUUUU